CGCGGCCUAUCAGCUUGUUGGUGGGGUAAUGGCCUACCAAGGCGACGACGGGUAGCCGGCCUGAGAGGGUGACCGGCCACACUGGGACUGAGACACGGCCCAGACUCCUACGGGAGGCAGCAGUGGGGAAUAUUGCACAAUGGGCGCAAGCCUGAUGCAGCGACGCCGCGUGAGGGAUGAAGGCCUUCGGGUUGUAAACCUCUUUCAGUAGGGAAGAAGCCGCUCCUUUUUGGGGGUGGUGACGGUACCUGCAGAAGAAGCGCCGGCUAACUACGUGCCAGCAGCCGCGGUAAUACGUAGGGCGCAAGCGUUAUCCGGAAUUAUUGGGCGUAAAGAGCUCGUAGGCGGUUUGUCGCGUCUGCCGUGAAAGUCCGGGGCUUAACUCCGGAUCUGCGGUGGGUACGGGCAGACUAGAGUGCAGUAGGGGAGACUGGAAUUCCUGGUGUAGCGGUGAAAUGCGCAGAUAUCAGGAGGAACACCGAUGGCGAAGGCAGGUCUCUGGGCUGUAACUGACGCUGAGGAGCGAAAGCAUGGGGAGCGAACAGGAUUAGAUACCCUGGUAGUCCAUGCCGUAAACGUUGGGCACUAGGUGUGGGGGACAUUCCACGUUUUCCGCGCCGUAGCUAACGCAUUAAGUGCCCCGCCUGGGGAGUACGG
rnacentral:rRNA from 1 species